rnacentral:rRNA from 1 species
UACGGAGGGGGCUAGCGUUGUCCGGAAUUAUUGGGCGUAAAGCGCACGUAGGCGGCUUUGUAAGUUAGAGGUGAAAGCCCGGAGCUCAACUCCGGAAUUGCCUUUAAGACUGCAUCGCUCGAAUCAUGGAGAGGUGAGUGGAAUUCCGAGUGUAGAGGUGAAAUUCGUAGAUAUUCGGAAGAACACCAGUGGCGAAGGCGACUCACUGGACAUGUAUUGACGCUGAGGUGCGAAAGCGUGGGGAGCAAACAGG